UACGAGUGCCCCAAGCGUUAUCCGGAAUUAUUGGGCGUAAAGGGUGUGUAGGUGGCAGUGUUAGUCGCUUGUUAAAACCCGAGGCUUAACCUCGGAAGUGCGAGCGAAACGGCACAGCUAGAGGAUGCGAGGGAUCUGUGGAACUCAUGGAGUAGGGGUGAAAUCCGUUGAUAUCAUGGGGAACACCAAAAGCGAAGGCAGCAGAUUGGCGCAAUCCUGACACUGAGACACGAAAGCGUGGGUAGCGAAUGGG
rnacentral:rRNA from 1 species